UAGAUUACUUCAAAUUAAUGUGGAUUUCGAUUUAAAAACGAUUUUGCGAUGUUCGUGUGAUUUUUAUACGAUUUUUCUCAAGUUAUUUUCUGUCGAUUUCGUUCCGGAAAAUGUGAACAAUGGAGGUCGGCUAUAGCACACGUUAUCGAUCGCAUGCGUUUUAAUCGUUACAUCCUCCCUUUGACCUUAACAAAUUAAACGAAAAUCUAAGAAAAAUGCCUUUAAAAAGGUUUAACAUUUAAUACUGGCAACAAUUUUUUUAUAAUUAUCCCACCGUGGAGUCGUAACUUAAUAUUCCUUCCUAUUGUUAUGUCAUGUGUCAUUUAGAACUUAUAUUGCUUGACCAGCGAUUCCUAGAAUAACGGAAUUGCCGUUAUCAAACUCUGAUAGACUUGUUGUUUAGAGCUGCCACAAUUCAGGAGAUGUAAUUACUAAAAUAGCCAUUGCAAGCGAUUUAAAAUCGCUAAGUGCGCAUUAUAAUUGAAAAAAUUCCACUGUAUAAACACUAGCUUGGAAGGUUUUAAUUACUAUUUCCAUUGGGGAUUUAUUAUUAUCGUUAGUACUCUUAUAUUAAAGAAUAUUAAUAGAUAGGGCUAGAUAAAAGUGAAGCAAUCAUUUCGAGUUAUUUGAUAUUAGAUGUUGUGCUGCUAAUGUUAUUUAGGAUUUAGAUAUAAGUAAAGGUAUCAAUUGGUUAAUUUUUGAAAUCAAUAUUAAGUAACUUAAUCAAUUUUAAACAAACCGUGAUGAUUAAUACGAAUUAAAGGUCUCUCAGAAAAUUAUAAAUUCAUCAUAUUCAUACAAAAUUAAGAAUUAUUUAUGGAAUUUAAUUAAUGAACUUUAAAUGUGAUUCAUUAUAUUCUACAUGCUGUAUUUUUUUAAAUAAUUAAAUCAAAUUUAAUUUUUUUUUUGACAUGUCCUGUCAUUUUUUACUUAGACAUAACCUCAAUUAUCGUUUUUGGUUAUAAAAAUGACAUUGACAGCUGCCAAAGAAAAAAAAAAUCCUCAACAUUGUGUUAUUUUGAUUGUAAUCUCAACAUAUAUGAAGCAGAUCCUUUCCAUUACCAAAUGGUCGUGGUAUGCACUCCUAUUUCUUAACAUUUAUAUUAUUAAUACUGAUUAAUAAUGAAUAAAAUGGUGAGUGAGGAAAGAGAAUAAUCAGAUAUUAAUAAAUGGUUACAAAGAUGUUGUGCCUAUGAGGAGAGAAAUUAAAGGAAGAAGAACAAUAACUUAAUGAAUGAGAUAGCUAUAUUGUUUAAUAAUAAAGUGCAUAAAAAGCUGA